AAACAUCUUUUCUUGUUAGUUUCUGAAGUAUGGCCUGCCCGCUGACGUAUUUUGAGUUGAAGGGCCGCGGUAUUUUGACCGUGCAAAGGUAGCAUAGUCAUUAGUUCUUUAAUUGUGAUCUGGUAUGAAUGGCUUGACGAGACAUAGGCUGUCUUAGUGUGAAUUUAUUGUUGAAUUUGGAGUUUAAGUUAAAAUUCUUAGAUGUUUUUAUGGGACGAGAAGACCCUAUAGAGUUUUACAUUUGAUUGUGCAUUUCUUUUUGUUUGUUUUAGGUUUUUGCGUGUCUUUUGUUUUGUUGGGGUGAUGGGAGGAAUUUAUUUAACUCCUCUUUUUAUGUGAUAUAUUGAUUUAUAUUUGUUUUGAUCCAUUUAUUUUGAUUGUAAGACUAAAUUACCUUAGGGAUAACAGCGUUAUCCUCCCUGAGAGUUCUUAUUGGCGGGGGGGUUUGCGACCUCGAUGUUGGAUUAAGGUUUAUUUU
rnacentral:rRNA from 1 species